rnacentral:rRNA from 1 species
CGGAUUCAUUGGGCGUAAAGGGUGCGUAGGUGGCGUCGUAAGUCGGGGGUGAAAUUUCGGAGCUUAACUCCGAAACUGCAUUCGAUACUGCGGUGCUUGAGGACUGGAGAGGAGACUGGAAUUCACGGUGUAGCAGUGAAAUGCGUAGAUAUCGUGAGGAAGACCAGUGGCGAAGGCGGAUCUCUGGACAGUUCCUGACGCUGAGGCGCGAAGGCCAGGGGAGCAAACGGG